rnacentral:rRNA from 1 species
AGCGAACGCUGGCGGCAUGCCUAACACAUGCAAGUCGCACGGGGGGGCUUCGGCCUCCCAGUGGCGGACGGGUGAGGAACGCGUAGGGACCUGUCGAGGGGUGGGGGAUAACCGCGGGAAACUGCGGCUAAUACCGCAUGACGCCGCGGCGUGACAGCCGGGGCCAAAGGCGAAAGCCGCCCGCCGAGGGGCCUGCGUCCGAUUAGCUGGUUGGCGGGGUAGCGGCCCACCAAGGCGUCGAUCGGUAGCUGGUCUGAGAGGGUGAUCAGCCACACCGGGACUGAGACACGGCCCGGACUCCUACGGGAGGCAGCAGUGGGGAAUAUUGGACAAUGGGCGCAAGCCUGAUCCAGCAAUGCCGCGUGGGUGAAGAAGGUCUUCGGAUUGUAAAGCCCUUUCGGCGGGGACGAUGGCGACGGUACCCGCAGAAGAAGCCCCGGCUAACUUCGUG